UCGAGUUUAAGGUCUUUCGAGGCCUGACCUCCAACCCUUUGUUUACAUUGACCAUUGUUGCUUCGGUGCGUCGCUGACGGCCGAGGGAGGGUGUCACAUCCCUCCGUCGGACGACGGCUCCUCACCGGUGGCCCAAUUUUCAAAACUCUGAAAUCAUGUCGUGUCCUUGUCUAAAUGUCGUGACGAGCUUCGGCUCCCACGAAACGCUUAAAAAAACA
rnacentral:misc_RNA from 1 species